rnacentral:rRNA from 1 species
GUAGGUGGCAAGCGUUGUCCGGAAUUAUUGGGCGUAAAGCGCGCGCAGGCGGUCCUUUAAGUCUGAUGUGAAAGCCCACGGCUCAACCGUGGAGGGUCAUUGGAAACUGGGGGACUUGAGUACAGAAGAGGAAAGCGGAAUUCCAAGUGUAGCGGUGAAAUGCGUAGAGAUUUGGAGGAACACCAGUGGCGAAGGCGGCUUUCUGGUCUGUAACUGACGCUGAGGCGCGAAAGCGUGGGGAGCAAACAGGAUUAGAUACCCUGGUAGUCCACGCGUAAACGAUGAGUGCUAAGUGUUAGGGGGUUUCCCGCCCCCCUUAGUGCUGCAGCUAACGCAUUAAGCACUCCGCCUGGGGAGUACGCCGCAAGGCUG